CUCAACCUGGGAACUGCAUUCGAAACUGGCAGGCUUGAGUCUUGUAGAGGGGGGUAGAAUUCCAGGUGUAGCGGUGAAAUGCGUAGAGAUCUGGAGGAAUACCGGUGGCGAAGGCGGCCCCCUGGACAAAGACUGACGCUCAGGUGCGAAAGCGUGGGGAGCAAACAGGAUUAGAUCCCCUGGUAGUCCACGCCGUAAACGAUGUCUACUUGGAGGUUGUGCCCUUGAGGCGUGGCUUCCGGAGCUAACGCGUUAAGUAGACCGCCUGGGGAGUACGGCCGCAAGGUUAAAACUCAAAUGAAUUGACGGGGGCCCGCACAAGCGGUGGAGCAUGUGGUUUAAUUCGAUGCAACGCGAAGAACCUUACCUGGUCUUGACAUCCACAGAACUUUCCAGAGAUGGAUUGGUGCCUUCGGGAACUGUGAGACAGGUGCUGCAUGGCUGUCGUCAGCUCGUGUUGUGAAAUGUUGGGUUAAGUCCCGCAACGAGCGCAACCCUUAUCCUUUGUUGCCAGCGAUUAGGUCGGGAACUCAAAGGAGACUGCCAGUGAUAAACUGGAGGAAGGUGGGGAUGACGUCAAGUCAUCAUGGCCCUUACGACCAGGGCUACACACGUGCUACAAUGGCGCAUACAAAGAGAAGCGACCUCGCGAGAGCAAGCGGACCUCAUAAAGUGCGUCGUAGUCCGGAUUGGAGUCUGCAACUCGACUCCAUGAAGUCGGAAUCGCUAGUAAUCGUGGAUCAGAAUGCCACGGUGAAUACGUUCCCGGGCCUUGUACACACCGCCCGUCACACCAUGGGAGUGGGUUGCAAAAGAAGUAGGUAGCUUAACCUUCGGGAGGGCGCUUACCACUUUGUGAUUCAUGACUGGGGUGAAGUCGUAACAAGGUAACCGUAGGGGAACCUGCGGUUGGAUCACCUCCUUACCUUAAAGAAGC
rnacentral:rRNA from 1 species